CACACCCAAUUAAAAGCAGAUUAAUAUUACAAUUAAUAUUAGAUGCCAGGCUAAAAAGAUGGGUCUUUAAGGCUCUUCUGAAGGUCUCCAAGGAAAACAAUCCUCUAAUCCUCAAACAAUCCUCUUCGCCACGGAGAGCAUUUUCCACAACCUAGGGGGAGCAACAGAGAAGGCCCUGUCCCAGGUCGCUACCAGAUGAACCAGUGACAUCCGAAGCUGGACGGAUGAUCUCAAUGAGCGGUGGGGAUCUUGAAAGGUGCUCUAUCAGGUGUUACAUUGUUAAUUUGGCCUUGUCAACCUUGCUAAAAGUCACUGAUGACCAAAGAAGAGUGCUGUCAGAACCACCGACUUCAGAGCCACAGUGGUCAUGAGCUUUCCAAUUUGAUGCAGACCUUUGAGCCUCCACAGUAAAAUGCAUCUGGAACCAUGUUCCAGAAUUGAAGCUCAUUUUUCUGAAGUUUGGUGAGACCAAGAUUGUGCAAGGACUUGAGAAAAUCUGCUUUCUUCUGCUUCAAAAUCUGAUUGUAUCAUGAAUGUUAUAGGAACAUUAAAGUUGCUAUAUUUACCACU